rnacentral:piRNA from 5 species
UAAUUAGUGACGCGCAUGAAUGGAUUA